ACCCUCAAAAGGCUUCCCCACAACUUUCCUGUAUAAGAUGUAUACAGCUUUCUCCCACCUUCCUUUUUAAAAAGAUGUUGAGUGGCAGCUCUGACAAUUGUUCCCAAUAUUUUGAUUACAGAAUUGCCCUGUUAUUCCAGCAAGUCUGAAAUUAGAUACAGGUGCAAAUUAACUGGCUAAGUCACAAGUGCAUUAAAGUUGGUAAUUUUUCUGUCAAGAGGCAUGUUGAAAGGUUGCCGAGAAUUACGAUAGCUGGUUGGAGCCAACUGCCUGGCACAGGUGUGCCUAGAGUUGGGAAAACAUUCCCCUUGGAUGAUGUGAGACCCACAAAAGCAGAAUAAUUCCCUGCAACUUCAGCUGGUGUCCUGCUUUUUGGUAACCCUUUCUUGAAUGGAGAUGGAGCUGUGGUUUCCUUAGCCAUACUCUCAGGGCCCUUCUAAAGGGGACAAAAGGGAUUAUGCAGAUUUAUUGGAACGUUACAAUGAUACCCAGAGAAUUUUCUUUAUGUAUGAAGAAAAAUGUUCUUGUUGAGGUAGAUAGUCCUCAAAAAGUGCUUAAAGACAACUUGAACACACAAUAAUCUGCUCAAAAGUUGGGUUUGUAUCCAGAUCUUCAGAACUUCCAUGAAGGGAGCAGAACAAUCUCAUUUUUGGCUUCCUGCUUUUGUUGAUUAGCAUAACCGGCUGUUGAGAAGCACAGCAGGCAGGCGAUGACUGUCUGCUAAAGAACCAAGAGCUUUUCCUCUCAUCUGUUUGGUCUUUUUGCAAAAGGACUGUAGGGGCUUGCAAUUUCAUAGAAGGUCACCCUGGUAUAUAGGAGCUGUAUCUAACCAAGAGGAAGCUAUGCUACCUUUUACUGUCCAUUUUAAACUAGCCUGCCCACUACUUUGUGGCUCAGAGGGGUAUUUCUUAGUAUCAACAAUGUGCUUUAAUUAAACUGUUAAAAACACUAGUUCAGCUGUUGCAUUGCAGAAGAAAGAUAAAAGCACAGCAAGACAUCUGUGUGUAGGAAAAGACUAUGCAAAAUAUAAACACCUGCCUUUUGUUGGUGACAAGCUGUGGAAACAUAAAGAGGACAGGUGCUCUACCUCCUGGCACUCAGAUAUUUCUCUGUGCCCUUUAAACAUUCUCUCCAGAAGGCCCAAUACUCCUCCCCGGCUGCCUUCUUUCCGGAGCCAGGACAGCCAUGCUGUGUUGACAUGGUUUGAAUAAAACAGCCCCAAGAUCUAUAAUAGACUUUUCCUGUGACAUUUACUAAAUCUUUUUGAAGUUCCCUUCUCUUUUCUGCACUAAAUAUCAGUUGCCCAAGAUAAUCUAUGAAGCUUGUAGCCUGGCCAUUAAGCACUCCUCUUGUGACUGGGUUAAUUCGCAGCAAAUUACAGAGAUUGCGGAACCGGCAGGCAGCAAAGCACUGUAACAUUUUCCUAAGAAAGGGAGAAAGAGCAGGGAACAAUAAUCACACUCCUUUCCUCAAGGAACAAAGAGGCUAGGUAUCCUAAGGUGACCGGAAUAUGAUCAUUACUGGGCUUCUGAACGUUGGAUCAGCUUUUGUAUGAAUUUAUGGUGCCAGGUUGAAUAUAACAAAGA